CCUGAGAAACCCAAAAGAUCGAAUGGGGAGAUUCAUCGUCAGCUCAUUUUGUAUAUGUAUAAGUUAUGAUGCGGGUUACUACUUGUAGUAUUGCCUGCACAUUCUUGUAUAUUUAGUUGCAAGAUGUUGUCGGCGUGCACUUCUCCCCUAGUAGGACGUCGCGACCUGUUGGGUGUCGGUCUACGGCCCAAGUGAUAGCCUUUAAUGUUAUUUAAAAAGCAUUGAAGAUCCUUGGUGUUUUCUGACCGGCUACUUGGCAGUACUCGUACGGUAUUUAGCCGCUAAAUUUAUUAAGCGUCCAUAUCCGUCACAAGCGAGGCUAAUUUACUUGAUAGUACGGACCUAGUGCCGUCGUUGGUAUUGGCCAGCUGUUGGUUGUAUGGUAUUCUAGGACUGGCUAAAAUUAAUUACCGGUCGGCGAUGCUACUGCUUUGGGUACUUACAGGACCCGUCUUGAAACACGGACCAAGGAGUCUAACAUGUGCGCAAGUCAUUGGGAUUUUUUUUAAAUUAAACCUAAAGGCGCAAUGAAAGUAAAGGUCGACC
rnacentral:rRNA from 1 species